GACGAACGCUGGCGGCGUGCUUAACACAUGCAAGUCGAACGGAAAGGCCCUGCUUUUGUGGGGUGCUCGAGUGGCGAACGGGUGAGUAACACGUGAGUAACCUGCCCUUGACUUUGGGAUAACUUCAGGAAACUGGGGCUAAUACCGGAUAGGAGCUCCUGCUGCAUGGUGGGGGUUGGAAAGUUUCGGCGGUUGGGUAUGGACUCGCGGCUUAUCAGCUUGUUGGUGGGGUAGUGGCUUACCAAGGCUUUGACGGGUAGCCGGCCUGAGAGGGUGACCGGCCACAUGGGGACUGAGAUACGGCCCAGACUCCUACGGGAGGCAGCAGUGGGGAAUAUUGCACAAUGGGCGGAAGCCUGAUGCAGCAACGCCGCGUGCGGGAUGACGGCCUUCGGGUUGUAAACCGCUUUCGCCUGUGACGAAGCGUGAGUGACGGUAAUGGGUAAAGAAGCACCGGCUAACUACGUG
rnacentral:rRNA from 1 species